GAAGUACUCCCUCCAUUCGGAAUUACUUGUCUCGAAAAUGGAUGUAUCUAGAACUAAAAUAAGUCUAGAUACAUCCAUUUUUGCGACAAGUAAUUCUGAACGGAGGGAGUAAUGC
rnacentral:pre_miRNA from 1 species